GUGAGGAAUAUUGCGCAAUGGAGGCAACUCUGACGCAGCCAUGCCGCGUGCAGGAAGAAGGCGCUACGCGUUGUAAACUGCUUUUAACCGGGAAGAAACCCCAGGACGUGUCCUGGGUUGACGGUACCGGAGGAAUAAGCACCGGCUAACUUCGUGCCAGCAGCCGCGGUAAUACGAAGGGUGCAAGCGUUAUCCGGAUUCAUUGGGUUUAAAGGGUGCGUAGGCGGAGCGUUAAGUCAGUGGUGAAAUCCUGCAGCUUAACUGUAGACUUGCCAUUGAUACUGGCGCUCUUGAGUGCGCUUGAAGUGGGCGGAAAGUGCCGUGUAGCGGUGAAAUGCUUAGAUAUGGCACAGAACACCAAUUGCGAAGGCAGCUCACUAAGGCGAUACUGACGCUGAGGCACGAAAGCGUGGGGAUCGAACAGGAUUAGAAACCCGGGUAGUCC
rnacentral:rRNA from 1 species